UACGAAGGGGGCUAGCGUUGUUCGGAAUUACUGGGCGUAAAGCGCACGUAGGCGGAUAUUUAAGUCAGGGGUGAAAUCCCGCAGCUCAACUGCGGAACUGCCUUUGAUACUGGGUAUCUUGAGUAUGGAAGAGGUAAGUGGAAUUGCGAGUGUAGAGGUGAAAUUCGUAGAUAUUCGCAGGAACACCAGUGGCGAAGGCGGCUUACUGGUCCAUAACUGACGCUGAGGUGGCGAAAAGCGUG
rnacentral:rRNA from 1 species